rnacentral:rRNA from 1 species
AUUGAACGCUGGCGGCAGGCUUAACACAUGCAAGUCGAGCGGAGAGAGGUAGCUUGCUACCGAUCUUAGCGGCGGACGGGUGAGUAAUGCUUAGGAAUCUGCCUAUUAGUGGGGGACAACAUUUCGAAAGGAAUGCUAAUACCGCAUACGUCCUACGGGAGAAAGCAGGGGAUCUUCGGACCUUGCGCUAAUAGAUGAGCCUAAGUCGGAUUAGCUAGUUGGUGGGGUAAAGGCCUACCAAGGCGACGAUCUGUAGCGGGUCUGAGAGGAUGAUCCGCCACACUGGGACUGAGACACGGCCCAGACUCCUACGGGAGGCAGCAGUGGGGAAUAUUGGACAAUGGGCGGAAGCCUGAUCCAGCCAUGCCGCGUGUGUGAAGAAGGCCUUAUGGUUGUAAAGCACUUUAAGCGAGGAGGAGGCUACUUUAGUUAAUACCUAGAGAUAGUGGACGUUACUCGCAGUAUAAGCACCGGCUAACUCUGUGCCAGCAGCCGCAGUAAGAC